UACAGAGGGUGCAAGCGUUGCUCGGAAUUAUUGGGCGUAAAGGGUAGGUAGGUGGUCUCAUUUGUCGGGGGUGAAAGCCUUGGGCUUAACCCAAGAAGUGCCUUCGAAACGGUGAGACUAGAGUUCUGGAGAGGGUCGUGGAAUUCCCGGCGUAGCGGUGAAAUGCGUAGAGAUCGGGAGGAACACCAGAGGCGAAGGCGGCGACCUGGACAGAUACUGACACUCAACUACGAAAGCGUGGGGAGCAAACAGG
rnacentral:rRNA from 1 species